rnacentral:rRNA from 1 species
CCUACGGGAGGCUGCAGUGGGGGAUAUUGCACAAUGGGGGGAACCCUGAUGCAGCGACGCCGCGUGGGUGAAGAAGCGCCUCGGCGCGUAAAGCCCUGUCAGCAGGGAAGAAAAUGACGGUACCUGAAGAAGAAGCCCCGGCUAACUACGUCCCAGCAGCAGCGGGAAUACGUAGGGGGCAAGCGUUAUCCGGAUUUACGGGGUGUAAAGGGGGCGCAGACGGCGAUGCAAGCCAGGAGUGAAAGCCCGGGGCCCAACCCCGGGACUGCUCUUGAAACUGCGUGGCUGGAGUGCAGGAGGGGCAGGCGGAAUUCCUGGUGUAGCGGUGAAAUGCGUAGAUAUCAGGAGGAACACCGGUGGCGAAGGCGGCCUGCUGGACUGCAACUGACGUUGAGGCCCGAAAGCGUGGGGAGCAAACAGGAUUAGAUACCCUAGUAGUC